rnacentral:rRNA from 1 species
CGAGCUCUCUAAAGGGUUGUCGUAGACUACGACGUUGAUAGGCAGGGUGUGUAAGCGCUGUGAGGCGUUGAGCUAACCUGUACUAAUUGCCCGUGCGGCUUAACCAUACAACACCCAAG